rnacentral:lncRNA from 1 species
GUUCCUCCCAGUAUCGCCGUUCCGCCUUCGCUGCCUCUAUCUCCUCCGGCGGGCGGCGAUACUCUCCCGGCCUUGUCCACGGUCCUGCCCCAUCUAGGAUCUCCUCCCAGGUCCAGUCCUCUGAACCACACUGCUUGGUCCCGCUCAUCCUCCUGGUCACCAGGCUGCCCGUUAUGGUGCACACCUGUCACCGUCGUUACGCGCACCUGCGUGUCAUCAGACUCACCUGGACUCCAUCACCUCCUUGAUUACCUGCCCUAUACAUGUCACGCCCUUUGGUUCCUUCCGCAGGCGUUAUUGUUUCUCUUCCUGUGUCAUGUUUGCGCGUUAUUCGUGUUUC